rnacentral:rRNA from 1 species
UCAUCUCCGGGGGUAGAGCACUGUUUCGGCUAGGGGGCCAUCCCGGCUUACCAACCCGAUGCAAACUGCGAAUACCGGAGAAUGUUAUCACGGGAGACACACGGCGGGUGCUAACGUCCGUCGUGAAGAGGGAAACAACCCAGACCGCCAGCUAAGGUCCCAAAGUCAUGGUUAAGUGGGAAACGAUGUGGGAAGGCCCAGACAGCCAGGAUGUUGGCUUAGAAGCAGCCAUCAUUUAAAGAAAGCGUAAUAGCUCACUGGUCGAGUCGGCCUGCGCGGAAGAUGUAACGGGGCUAAACCAUGCACCGAAGCUGCGGCAGCGACGCUUAUGCGUUGUUGGGUAGGGGAGCGUUCUGUAAGCCGUUGAAGGUGUGCUGUGAGGCAUGCUGGAGGUAUCAGAAGUGCGAAUGCUGACAUAAGUAACGAUAAAGCGGGUGAAAAGCCCGCUCGCCGGAAGACCAAGGGUUCCUGUCCAACGUUAAUCGGGGCAGGGUGAGUCGACCCCUAAGGCGAGGCCGAAAGGCGUAGUCGAUGGGAAACAGGUUAAUAUUCCUGUACUUGGUGUUACUGCGAAGGGGGGACGGAGAAGGCUAUGUCGGCCGGGCGACGGUUGUCCCGGUUUAAGCGUGUAGGUGUGUGCUCCAGGCAAAUCCGGUGCACUUUAACACUGAGGCGUGAUGACGAGGCACUACGGUGCUGAAGUGACAAAUGCCCUGCUUCCAGGAAAAGCCUCUAAGCAUCAGGUAACAUCAAAUCGUACCCCAAACCGACACAGGUGGUCAGGUAGAGAAUACCAAGGCGCUUGAGAGAACUCGGGUGAAGGAACUAGGCAAAAUGGUGCCGUAACUUCGGGAGAAGGCACGCUGAUAUGUAGGUGAAGUGGUUUACCCAUGGAGCUGAAAUCAGUCGAAGAUACCAGCUGGCUGCAACUGUUUAUUAAAAACACAGCACUGUGCAAACACGAAAGUGGACGUAUACGGUGUGACGCCUGCCCGGUGCCGGAAGGUUAAUUGAUGGGGUUAUCCCUCGGGAGAAGCUCUUGAUCGAAGCCCCGGUAAACGGCGGCCGUAACUAUAACGGUCCUAAGGUAGCGAAAUUCCUUGUCGGGUAAGUUCCGACCUGCACGAAUGGCGUAAUGAUGGCCAGGCUGUCUCCACCCGAGACUCAGUGAAAUUGAACUCGCUGUGAAGAUGCAGUGUACCCGCGGCAAGACGGAAAGACCCCGUGAACCUUUACUAUAGCUUGACACUGAACACUGGUCCUUGAUGUGUAGGAUAGGUGGGAGGCUUUGAAGUGUGGACGCCAGUCUGCAUGGAGCCGCCCUUGAAAUACCACCCUUUAAUGGCUGGUGUUCUAACGUGGGCCCGUAAUCCGGGUUGCGGACAGUGUCUGGUGGGUAGUUUGACUGGGGCGGUCUCCUCCUAAAGAGUAACGGAGGAGCACGAAGGUCAGCUAAUCCUGGUCGGACAUCAGGAGGUUAGUGCAAUGGCAUAAGCUGGCUUGACUGCGAGCGUGACGGCGCGAGCAGGUGCGAAAGCAGGUCAUAGUGAUCCGGUGGUUCUGAAUGGAAGGGCCAUCGCUCAACGGAUAAAAGGUACUCCGGGGAUAACAGGCUGAUACCGCCCAAGAGUUCAUAUCGACGGCGGUGUUUGGCACCUCGAUGUCGGCUCAUCACAUCCUGGGGCUGAAGUAGGUCCCAAGGGUAUGGCUGUUCGCCAUUUAAAGUGGUACGCGAGCUGGGUUUAGAACGUCGUGAGACAGUUCGGUCCCUAUCUGCCGUGGGCGCUGGAGAACUGAGGGGGGCUGCUCCUAGUACGAGAGGACCGGAGUGGACGCAUCACUGGUGUUCGGGUUGUCAUGCCAAUGGCACUGCCCGGUAGCUAAAUGCGGAAGAGAUAAGUGCUGAAAGCAUCUAAGCACGAAACUUGCCCCGAGAUGAGUUCUCCCUGACUCCUUGAGAGUCCUGAAGGAACGUUGAAGACGACGACGUUGAUAGGCCGGGUGUGUAAGCGCAGCGAUGCGUUGAGCUAACCGGUACUAAUGAACCGUGAGGCUUAACCUU